rnacentral:rRNA from 1 species
CAACCCUUGACAUGGGACGUACGGGCUCGAGAGAUCGGGUCCUUCAGUUCGGCUGGCGUCCACACAGGUGCUGCAUGGCUGUCGUCAGCUCGUGUCGUGAGAUGUUGGGUUAAGUCCCGCAACGAGCGCAACCCUCAUCUUCAGUUGCCAUCAUUUGGUUGGGCACUCUGAAGAAACUGCCGGUGACAAGCCGGAGGAAGGCGGGGAUGACGUCAAGUCCUCAUGGCCCUUACGGGUUGGGCCACACACGUGCUACAAUGGUGGUGACAAUGGGGAGCAAAGGCGCGAGCCCGAGCCGAUCUCAAAAAGCCAUCUCAGUUCGGAUUGCACUCUGCAACUCGGGUGCAUGAAGUUGGAAUCGCUAGUAAUCGCGCAUCAGCACGGCGCGGUGAAUA